UUCGAUUCGUUUAACUCGAAAUUUGAAUUUUUUUUCAAUUUUUUCGAAUCGAAUCGAGUUUUGCUCACCCCUACUUACUCCUACUUUCAAUGAAUUAUAGACGACAUCUAAAGGAUUCUAUAGGAAGCUACGGAACCUAAAUCUUCCUUCUAAAAUCAAAAUUACAAUAUGGCGAAUAUCGAAAAAUUUUAUCCCUACUUUAUCUAAUAUGUAUUACAAGCGACUAGUGGCGCAUGCGAUAUGCCCAAUAUGCGGGGGAGGGGUUGAAAUGACGGACCAUGUUUUUCGAAGUUGCCCUGCUUCAAAGGAUGUUUGGAAAUUAGUAGGGUACUCGUGGAUAAUGUCAAAUACAACUCAGGAAACGUUUGAAUGGCUUACCUGGGUAUUCAGUGUAAGUUCUGUUCUUCAACGGAGGGUUUUUUGUUGUGCCCUUUGGGCCUUGUGGAUUGAAAGGAAUAAGCGUGUGCAUGAGAACUCCGCAAAAUCGGGCAGAGAGGUAGCCAAUUUCAUUCAAAGUUACAUUAAAGAACUAGAAGGUAUCGAAGAACGAGGGCUUACCAGGGGAGUUAUUAGCGCUAAACUGGAACCUCCUUCGGGGGUUUGUAUUAAAAUAAACUUCGAUGCGGAUUUUGAUUGGGCACAUUCUAGGUCGAGGUCGGGGAUAGUGGCCAAAAACGCCCUGGGGAAGGUGGUUGCCUCUAGAUCGGUCAUACAUGCAAAUGUUGGGGCGGCUUUUGCAGCGGAAGCUCUUGCCCGUUUAUGGGCAGUACAAACGGGGUUAGAUUUGGGUUUCACAGAUAUGAUUAUAGAAGGAGACUCUUUAUCAGUUAUAAAGAAAUCCAAGUCAGAUUCACAAGACAAAUCAGAAAUAAGUACUUAUACCCGGAAUAUAAAACGAAAUAUCAACAGUUUUCGGUCUCUACGAAUCAAACAUGCAAGACGCUCGGCUAAUCAACUUGCUCAUGUAAUAGCUACUGAAAGUUUGAGAAAUGGUGAAGAGUUUUACCUGGAAGAGAAGGUCCCGAGAUUCGUUGUGAGGAUAAUGGAAGAAGAAUGGAUUAGAGCCCGAUUAAGGAGGAAGAUGGUAAAAGCUCUUCGAUCCCUGGGAUAAAGAAAGCUUAGAAAUGUGUUUUUGAGAGAAAAGAUCGUUGG
rnacentral:lncRNA from 1 species